rnacentral:rRNA from 1 species
GAUCCUGGCUCAGGAUGAACGCUGGCGGCGUGCUUAACACAUGCAAGUCGAACGAACGACUAUUAACAGAACCUUUCGGGGCGAAGAAUAUAGAAGUUAGUGGCGGACGGGUGCGUAACGCGUGGGUAAUCUGCCUUUGUCAAAGGAAUAACUAUUCGAAAGAAUAGCUAAAACCGUAUAACAUAUUAAUAGGGCAUCCUAAUAAUAUCAAAACGAUAGUGGACAAAGAUGAGCCCGCGUCUGAUUAGCUUAG